rnacentral:piRNA from 1 species
UGCACAGGCGAAGAUUCCCUUCACAUGGUUC